CGGACGGGUGAGUAACGCGUGAGAAUCUGCCUUCAGGUCGGGGAUAACAGCUGGAAACGGCUGCUAAUACCGGAUGAGCCGAGAGGUAAAAGCGAAAGUGCCUGAAGAUGAGCUCGCGUCUGAUUAGCUAGUUGGUGGGGUAAGAGCCUACCAAGGCGACGAUCAGUAGCUGGUCUGAGAGGAUGAUCAGCCACACUGGGACUGAGACACGGCCCAGACUCCUACGGGAGGCAGCAGUGGGGAAUUUUCCGCAAUGGGCGCAAGCCUGACGGAGCAAUACCGCGUGAGGGAGGAAGGCCCUUGGGUUGUAAACCUCUUUUGUCAGGGAAGAAGGUCUGACGGUACCUGACGAAUCAGCAUCGGCUAACUCCGUGCCAGCAGCCGCGGUAAUACGGAGGAUGCAAGCGUUAUCCGGAUUUAUUGGGCGUAAAGGGUCCGCAGGUGGUUAUUCAAGUCUGCUGUCAAAGCGCGGAGCUUAACUCCGUACAGGCGGUGGAAACUGAGGAACUAGAGUCUGGUAGGGGUCGCGGGAAUUCCCAGUGUAGCGGUGAAAUGCGUAGAUAUUGGGAAGAACACCGGCGGCGAAAGCGCGCGACUGGACCGGAACUGACACUUGACGGACGAAAGCUAGGGGAGCGAAAGGGAUUAGAUACCCCUGUAGUC
rnacentral:rRNA from 1 species